rnacentral:piRNA from 1 species
UUGCAGACUUGAGCAUGCAGGAUGUGAUGU